UUCGAAUUUAGAAGUAAGAUGAUUCACGCCGGAUAUAAAGAAAAUGAAUUUAUUUUUAAUUCCAACAAAAAUGAUUUACAAAAACAUUUGUAAAUUUAGUUAUUGAAUUUAUAUGCAUUGCAUAUUUAUUUAAUUUAGUAUUUAAGUAUUUUCACGAGCUAUUUAUUUAACGAACCCUGAAGUAUUUAUUACAGUCCCGAUAUUUUAUCUAUGUUCCUAAUAACCACCUUAUAUCAUGAUUAUUUAUAGCAUACAUGUAUUUAUGCAGACUAAUAAAAUCCUCCCAUAUCUCAUCCUCAAUCCACUACUCAUCAAUGGUGCUACACUACUCACCAAUUCACUACUUCCACCACCAACGUUAACAUCACUACCCACUCACACUUUCCACUCUCCCCACUCACACUUCACACCAUACUUUGCCCCCCACCAAAAUAAACUUUAGCCAUAAUACUCAUUCCCUUCCACUCACCAUUUCUCCUACAUACCAAGGAACUAAGUGCAGAGCUACACCCACACAAGUUCAGCUAUACCACACGGACAUCCCUAUCACUUCACUCAUUCUGAAAAUUUUCAUUUGCUCACCAAGAUCAUUUCGACAGAAUCCAGCACACAACAAACAAACAGGAUCAACACUCACUGAAAUUUCUCACAAGGCUUUGAGCAUCAGGAGGAUUAGCACUGCUAUUCCGAUUCAGAAAUAAAGUUAAACGACAGGCUUUGCCUAGACAGGUUAAUGGCUGGUGAUGACGGGGCAGAGCUGAGGCUAGGGUUCAACUCCGUAUUUUGUCUUCCGCUAUUGCACUAGCUUUUAUUUGUCUUUUGUUUCUCCAACUUAAGACUUUUAUGUUAAAUUCUGAAUUAUGUUUUUAUCGA